ACCAUUAGAGUUUCUGAACUGUAGUGAUCCAUUAGAUUUAAAUGGUAAUGCAACAAGACGUCAAGAAUUAGGAUAUGGUUGUACAAAGGUCAGUAUGAUUACAAAAUUGCUAGGUCUGAAAAGAUGUCACAUUGUAUCUUUCUCAUUUUCUCAUGUUAUAUUUAGUACUGGCAGGAACUUUUGACUUUUAUUGAUUUUUUUACCUGCUUGUACAAUUCAUAAGAAUUGUUGGUCUGAAAAAUUCUGAUUAUUCUUGCUUUACUUUACUUAAAGUUUAUAUUUAAUUUGACAAUUCUUGUUAAAGAAUUUUUAAUCAAAAAUACAUGUAAAUGAUGUACAGAAAGAAUAGUAUAAAGAUGAAUUAAAAAAAAUUAAGUUUAUAUGGCCAAAGUCCAUUUUAAAUUAUAGUAUGGUGGGAGAAGAUAUGAAGAUGUCCAGAAGACCAAAGUGAACUGUUCUGUUUUACCAGGGAUAGAAUGUUUUGGUGACAGAUAUUUCCUCAAAGAUGGUUUUCCAUGUAUCAAGUAAGAUUUUUAAUCUUGUUAAUUGUAUCUGACAAUUUUAGCUUGUCUUUAAAUGGUGUUUUUUGAAUUAAGGGAAUGUUUUAUAUAUGAAUUAAAGUAGUAGAAUGCAAUAGCAGAAUUUUAAACUACAGGGCUUUACAUCAGAUGUAAAAUACUUCAAUUGUUUUGAGAAAGUUAUACAUUUACAAAAUAAACAAACAUUUGUUUUUUGAUUAAUCAUUUGCUACCCAUGGCCUGGGAUACUUAUGACACCAGAUAUUAUUAUCUGUAUGUUUUUCCAUUAGAAAACAAGUUUACUUUAAACUUCUAGUUUUACCUAGUUUAUUAUAGAUAAAGUGCAUCUCAAUUCCAUAGUUAUAUUUGUAUAUAUACUUGCAGUUGAUGCAAACAAAUUAUUAAUGUCUGCAAAACUUUCUAAUUUGUUUUUUUAGUCACUUAAAAAGGUAUUUGAGAUUUCACUAUUGAAAGUAUUGACAAUACAUGCAAUACUCAGAGCAUGAAUAUUUUCUACUUUUUUCAGCUUAAUUUUUAUUAUAAUAUUAGUUUAUUGUUUUUCUUUUUUUACAGAUACACAGGUCAUUAUUUCCUAACAACUUUAAUAUAUUCUGUACUUCUUGGUUUUUUGGGAAUGGACAGAUUUUGUUUAGGACAAACAGGUACAUAAGAAUUAAAUCAUGACAUAUAAAACUAUACAAAAGAUUACAGUACCCGUAUAUAAUGAUUGAUUAGACACAAGUAUGUAAGGAUUGUUUCUUUAUUCUUUACAAUAUAUACUUUAUGACCAAGGUAUUACCACAUUUUUCUAAAAUUAUGAUAAAAAGUGUAAGUUUUAAGCUGCAAAAUGAGCAAAACUUCUUAUGAUUUUUGUUAGGCUUUUUCAGGUGGGAUAACAUUACUAUUGUCUAGUAGAAAAAAGUACAUGAUAUAAUUUUGAUAUGAAAUACAUGCAUGAGGUACUGACUUCAGAGAAAAACUAGUAAUAAUAUAAAAAUAAGAAGAUGGGGAAUGAUUGCUAAUAAGACAACAAGAGACCAAAUGACACAGAAGUUUACUUGACAACAUUGUUGAAGUUGCUUUUCAUAGUGGUUAUUGCCCCUAACACAUUAUUAUUUCUAAUACAAAAGAAACUGAUAUCAACAGAAUAAGGGUUUUGGGAUACGAUUGAUUUAAUGCAAACUGUAGACUUACUUGUUCUUGCUCCAGGGUUUGUUUAGGUAAUUAUGCUCAUGCAUAACUACAACACCCCUUCAGGCGAAAUGGAGUCUUCCAUAUUAUUGAUUCGAGUUGUCUUCCUUCUGGAAGUGACUUCCAUCAAUUCUGAAUCAAAAUACAAUACAACACUUCGAGAAAAAUUAACUAGUUUUGUUGAUAAACGCCGUAUUAUAUUAAAAACAAUCGCAAUUUAAACCGAGGAAUGUGGACAGAAAGGAGUCAUGACCACUGACCCAAAGGAAAUUAUAUAUUUAAAGAGUUAGGAAUGGGGUUCCUCCUAGAAUUAACGUAGGAAAAUAGGUGAUAAGAUACGAAGUGAAAUACCUUCUCUCACUCUGAGUCUCAGUGACUGCUGUGGAAAGUAAACUUGGAAUUGAUAGUACAAAAAUAAAACACAAUAAGUACAUUAUUCAUACACUUGUAUUCAGGAUUGGCUAUUUUGUUACUAUUCAGAUUACGUAAAUUACAUUUUACAUGUGCAGUUGAAUUAGUUUUGACAAUAAUAAUAUCCAGCUACAUGUAUAUGUUCCCGACCAUAUGAGUAUUUAGACCAUACGCAUAUGGUCAUGACCGUACGCGUAUGGUCGGACCAUAUGAGUAUAAUACUCGUUUGGUUAUUAACGGUCCUGACCAUAUGAGUAUUUGGACCAUAUAGGUUUUUUUUUUUUUUCAAAUUACAUUAUAAACGUUUCAAUAAUACAAACACGUUAUCUAAAACAAGAGUGCACACGCUGAAAUGUCUUGCCUUCUUUACUAAUCAUUGAUAUUAUGUUGAUAGACCUAAAUAUAAAGCUUUAUUACAACUGUCACAUAAACUCAACAUUAACCAAGAAAACAAAACAUUAAUCAAUGAACCAUGAAAAUGAGGUCAAGGUCAGAUGAACCAUGCCAGGCAGACAUGUACAGCUAACAAUUCUUCAAUACAACAAAUAUAGUUGACUUAUUGCUUAUAAAUUAAGAAAAACAGACCAAAACACAAACACUUAACACUUAGCAAUGGACCGUGAAAAUGAGGUCAAGGUCAAAUAAAACCUGCAUAACAGAAAUAUAGAUCAUAAAAUAUUUCCAUACACCAAAUAUAGUUGACCUAAUGCAUAAAGUAUUUGAAAAAUAGACCAAAACUCAAAAACUUAACUUUGAACACUGAACCAUGAAAAUGAGGUCAAGGUCAGAUGACACCUGUCAGUUAGACAUGUACACCUUACAAUCAUUCCAUACACCAAAUAUAGAAGACCUAUUGCAUAAAGUAUAAGAAAAACAGACCAAAACACAAAAACUUAACUAUAACCACUGAACCAUGAAAAUGAGGUCAAGGUCAAAUGACACCUGCCAGUUGGACAUGUACACCUUACAGUCUUUCCAUACACUGAAUAUACUAGCCCUAUUGCUUAUAUUAUCUGAGAUAUGGACUUGACCACCAAAACUUAACCUUGUUCACUGAUCCAUGAAAUGAGGUCGAGGUCAAGUGAAAACUGUCUGACGGGCAUGAGGACCUUGCAAGGUACGCACAUACCAAAUAUAGUUAUCCAAUUACUUAACAUAAGAGAGAAAUUAACAUUACAAAAAAUCUGAACUUUUUUUCAAGUAGUCACUGAACCAUGAAAAUGAGGUCAAGGACAUUGGACAUGUGACUGACGGAAAGUUCGUAGCAUGAUGCAUCUAUAUACAAAGUAUGAAGCAUACAGGUCUUCUAACUUCUAAAAUAUAAAGCUUUUAAGAAGUUAGCUAACGACGCCGCCGCCGCCGGAUCACUAUCCCUAUGUCGAGCUUUCUGCAACAAAAGUUGCAGGCUCGACAAAAACCAGUGAUGGUUAUAAAUGACAAUUUAUCAAUUUUAUAAUCCAAAAACUACGUAAAAGUCAAGUAUUGGUGUCAUAGUUAGUUUUCAUCGCUAGUUACAUUCUUGCAUGUAGGCUUGGUGUGACAUUCACUUCCAAACGGUAUAUUAGCUUUUUUGCAUUUGCAAGAAAUUUGUGCACGAUCCUUUUUAGUUACACCUUUUGUUUGCGAGUGAAAAGCUAGCCUUUUUUGCAGCUGUGUACAGUGAUACCGAGGUCUUUGGUCAUUCCGAUGUCUACCGUAUGACCAUGUUUUUAAGAAGAUCUCAAAUAUCGUAAAAUGACUGCAAUACACCAUAUUCACCAGACAACUUAAAUAAACUAUGUUACUUUCUAGUGACUUCAUGUGUAACCGUUCAUUAAGAAUUUUUUGGAAUUUUUUUAGUCGACAUAUUGCCAUUCACUCGUAAUAACAAAUCAGUAAUGACCAUUGGUAAUGAUCAUCGGUAUAAAAUGUGUUUACUAUAAAUUUGACAAUUAAGUAAAAUUAACUAUAUGAAACUUCUUAUUUUAAUAAAGCUUAUCUUUUUAUUAUAAUAUAACUUAUCUUUUUAUUGUAAUAUAAUAAUAAAAUUACUUAUAUAUAUGAUAGCGUGUUUUGAAUGAACGGCCAUAUCAAAUGAAGAGUUUCGAAGUAUUAAAAGUUAACUGUAACAGAGUGUUAAUUACCCCGACCAUAUGAGUAUAUACCCAUAUGGUCAUGACCAUACGCGUAUGGUCCAAAUACUCAUAUGGUCCGGAACAUAUACAUGUGUCAAUGAAAACAAUGGCAAUCGUAUCCCUCAAAGAUCUGAUCUUUGAUUAUACUUUUGAAGUGAACUUUGGGAAUGUCUUAUAUAGAUUCCAUUAGUAGUACUAGUAUUGUCAUUCUUUUUUUUUGGUACUAAGAUGCAGUAACUACCUAGAUACAGAUAUUAUUUCAUUUUGGCUUAAUUGAACACACAAAAUUAUCAAAUGCAUUAAAAAAUACACUGUAAAAUUUUUUGAUAAUAAAAUAAUAAAAUGCAAUAUUUCCAUGAUUUCAGGUACAGCUGUAGGUAAACUGUUAACACUUGGAGGAUUAGGUGUAUGGUGGAUAGUGGACAUUGUAUUAUUAGUUAACGGAAUUCUAUUACCUAAUGAUGGCAGUAACUGGGUGCCUUACUAUUAAGAACAGUUGUUAAAAUUAGGAUGAAACAGCUUUAUACAUAAAUAAUGUAUUGAAUGUUCUUUUUAUUCUGUCAGAAUAUUUGCUUGUCAAGUUGUCAGACAGAUUAACAAUAACUGCAAUAACUGAUCUAACACAAUUUCAGACAGUAAUUUGAAUACAUGUAAGAAAAUAAAAAAAUUAUAACAUUUAAAUGUUGGCUACAGCAAUAAGUGAUAAUGUGAAAGGAUUCAAUACUUUGAAAGCUUUAUAUUAUAUGUUUUAGAGAGCACAUUAUAUUCAUACAUACAACUUCAAAUCUUCACUCCACAUCAUGUUCCAUGAUAAUCAUACUCAUCAAAUCAGUUUUUUUAUACCCCGCUUUUAAAAAAGGGGGGGUAUACUGUUUUACCUCUGUCUGUCAGUCCGUCCGUCCGUCCAUCAGUCCGUCCGUCCGUCCGUCCGUCAGUCAGUCCGUCCCAUGAAACUUUCGUCACAUUUUUCUCAGGAACUACACAUUCACCCUUUCUGUAAUUUGGUAUCAACAUUUAUAUAUGUCAGCCAUACCAUGUGAUGCGUUUUCAGAUUCAUCACUUGACAACUUCCUGUUUACCGAACACUUGUCUGAUUUUACACAUGAUAGCCAAGUUGAAAAUUUUCGUCACAUUUUUCUCAGGAACUACAAUACAAGGAUUUCUGAAAUUUGGUUUCAGGAUUUAUAUAAGUCAGCUAUACCGUGUGAUGCGUUUUCAUAUUUAUCAAUCGACAACUUCCUGUUUACCGAACACUUGUAUGAUUUUACUCAUGAUAGCCAAGUUGAAAAUUUUUGUCACAUUUUUCUCAGGAACUACAAUACAAGGAUUUCUGAAAUUUGGUUUCAGGAUUUAUAUAAGUCAGCUAUACCGUGUGAUGCGUUUUCAGAUUCAUCACUCGACUACUUCCUGUUUACCGAACACUUGUAUGAUUUUACACAUGAUAACCAAGUUAAAAAUUUUGGCACAUUUUUCUCAGGAACUACAAUACAAGGAUUUCUGAAAUUUGGUUUCAGGAUUUUUAUAAGUCAGCUAUACCGUGUGAUGCGUUUUCAGAUUCAUCACUCAACAACUUCCUGUUUACCGAACACUUGCAUAUUUUUACACUAUUAAUAUUAUCCACUUGCGGCGGGGGUAUCAUCAGUGAGCAGUAGCUCGCAGUUUCACUUGUUUAAUCUAGUAUAACAUUUGUAUCAGAUAAUGGAGUAUUAACUUUGUAGUAAAAACCACAAUUUUUGUUUUACCAUUUUUUCAUAAAAUAUAUACAAUGAUUUAAGGGAGAUAAUUCAUGAUAUUACUAGAGUACUGUAGAUUGCAAAAUACAAUUAUUACCCUGUAGGCGACAAUUGUUAUAUUUUUCAAAGAACAUUCUUAAACAAAUUCUUGUUUGAAUUCAAGAAAAAAUUAUUUGGCCUGUAUUUUUUAGACCCAAAAGUAUAGGUUUCUGUUACUUUCUUGCAUUUGUAUUACUUAUUUCCCUUGCCUAUCAAUCCACGCUAAAAAAUACACAAUUUACAUGUCUUUCCAGAGUUCAGAAAGACUUCUCAGUCCAUUUGAGGAAAAAUAAAUUAUAUUUUUCUGCCUUUGGUAUAUGGAUUAGUCCACAAGGUGUUACAUAAUAGAUAAUUGGGUACAUAUAACUACCAAUUGGAAUUAUUCAAACACUUAAUUUUGAAUAUCACAAUUUAUCUUCAUUUCAAUGACUGCACCCAUGUUACUUAAUUGUCAGUUGUAACUUAUAUAUGGUGAAGGCCAAAAUUUUCCAUAAAUAAUCAAAAGUGGGAUGGAUUUUUUUUUCUAUUAAAAAAGUAACAUCGGCAAGCAAUAUCAAAACCAAGACAUGUUUUGGAUUUAAAAAACGAUCAAAGGUAUGCCUGAGUCUUAACAGUUCUUUACUUGAAAACUGUCUUUUAUAGUGAGUACAAAUUUUUGUAUACACUUUAAUACAUUUUUCAAUGUAAAAAAGAGUAUGAAAAUUAUGUCGAAUAUGUAACGUAUUUCAAAUUGUACUGUGUAUUUAUUUUUUUAAUAAAAUUGUCGUUUUGAU
rnacentral:lncRNA from 1 species